CUAGAGGUGGGAAUCAUGAGAACGCUGACCUCAUCAGCAGGUUAAGACAUUGAUGAGCUCAUAGCUAAAUGAGUUACAAGGAAGUAGGGCCCAGAGGGAGGAAGCAGGUUACUGGAGGUGUGUGUGCCUGGAGGGUUAUAUCAGGUCCCCGGCCUCCUCCUGUCGGACUCUUUCCUCCUAAUUCUCCACAAGCCAAAACCUGAGAUGAGUAUCCCUGAAGACUGACCACAGGCCAGAGGCUGAGCCGCUGGGGCAAGAGAAGCAAGUGCAUUAGGCCCAAGCACAACAGCCGUAAGAAAGAGGUACUGUUCCUCCUGCCAUUUUGCAGAUAAGCCUGCUGAGGCUUGAAGUUUUAACAGCCCUUCAGGGUAAGCUGCCAAGUUAGGACCUGCGCCCAGGACCAGCUCAUCCCCAAACUCUUGCUCUAAGCUGCUCUGCCACCAUGUUAACACUAGCUUGUAAGUGUACACUUUCUGAGGCUUCUCCCUCUCAAGUAGCUGGUAACUUUCAAAUAUGUGUGUAUAACAUGUAGUCUCAAGAGGGCCGGGGAUUUAGCUCAGUGGUGCCACCUCCUGCCUCAAAAGCGCAAGGUCCUGAGUUCGAUCUCAGGUAUUAAAAAAAAAAGCAGUCUCAAGAAGUAAGAGUUUGUUCUAUAUCCUUAAGAUACAGAAAUGUAAAUUUAGGAAAUGGGAAUACUGACAUCUGAAAAAUAAAUAAUGGAACCCAACUUAUAGUGUUUCUGAUACAGUCAAGUGAAAAGCAGUGUAAAAGCCAUUGCUUCUUUGGGUUUGUCUGCCUUCUUAUUUCUUUUGUGGUCACGAGCAUUACCAGUGGAGAGCUUGGGUUUGUCAUAGGCAGACGUCUAAUCCUUUCGGAAAAG
ensembl:lncRNA